UCCUGCCAGUAGUCAUAUGCUUGUCUCAAAGAUUAAGCCAUGCAUGUCUAAGUGCAGGCCUUCAUACGGUGAAACCGCGAAUGGCUCAUUAAAUCAGCUAUGGUUUAUUGGAUCAUCUCCGUUAAAUGGAUAACUGUAAUAACUCUAGAGCUAAUACAUGCCAUGAUGCCCUGACCCUACCGGUGGUGUGGUGUAUCAACACACCCGCUGGCUGGGGAAUGGGUGCACUUAUUAGAUCAGAAGCCAACCAGUACAUGCGUUUGAGUCCUCUCUGGGGCGAGAUCGUGUGGGCUGUAGUACUUCUGGUGACUCUGGAUAAUUGUUACAGAUCGCAGUCGGCCUUGAGUCGGCGACGGGUCCUUCAAAUGUCUGCCCUAUCAACUUUCGAUGGUAGGUGACCUGCCUACCAUGGUGAUAACGGGUAACGGGGAAUCAGGGUUCGAUUCCGGAGAGGGAGCCUGAGAAACGGCUACCACUUCCAAGGGAGGCAGCAGGCGCGCAAAUUACCCACUCCCAGUACGGGGAGGUGGUGACGAAAAAUACCGAUGCGGGACUCAUUUAAGAGGCUCCGUAAUCGGAAUGAGUGGACUCUAAAUCCUUUCACGAGGAUCAAUUGGAGGGCAAGUCUGGUGCCAGCAGCCGCGGUAACUCCAGCUCCAAUAGCGUAUAUUAAAGUUGCUGCAGUUAAAAAGCUCGUAGUUGGAUCUCGGUAGCAUUGUUGCCUGCCUAGUCUUCAACCGUCAGUGUGUGCACCGUGUCGUGUGCAUGUGUGUGUGUGUGUGUGUGUGCGGUGCUCUGCUUGGCUUCGUCGGCCUGCGUUGCUUACUGUGCGUUCUCACGCGCGUGUAGUGCAAUGUUGGAUAUUCGGCUGGCCGGCAGAUUGUACUGCUACUGCAUGUCAUGUCGUGUCGCGAUGGGUGCACACGAAGCACUGUCGAGUUGAGCUGGCAAGGCGAUGGUGCCACCUUUGAGCCAUGUCUGUGGUCUAACAGCCGCAGGUGUAGGCGGGUGUCGGGCAGUGCUCUAUACUUGUGUGUGGAGUCUAGUCGGCUCGUUUGCAUGCCAAUGAAUGCCCUUCAAAAGGUGUUCAUGGGCGGAUGGCACGUUUACUUUGAACAAAUUUGAGUGCUCAAAUCAGGCCGAUGUUGCCUGAAAAGUUUUGCAUGGAAUAAUGGAAUAGGACUUCGGUUCUAUUUCGUUGGUUUUCGGAUCCGAAGUAAUGAUCAAAAGAGACAGGCGGGGACGUUUGUAUGGCUGCGCUAGAGGUGAAAUUCAUGGACCGUAGCCAGACAGACUAAAGCGAAAGCAUUCGUCAAGCAUGUUUUCAUUGGCCAUGAGCGAAAGUCAGAGGCUCGAAGACGAUCAGAUACCGUCCUAGUUCUGACCAUAAACGAUGCCAACUGACGAUCCGUGGUGGUAGUUUGUAAACCUUCCCCACGGGCAGUCCCCGGGAAACCUUUAAGUCUUUGGGUUCCGGGGGAAGUAUGGUUGCAAAGCUGAAACUUAAAGGAAUUGACGGAAGGGCACCACCAGGAGUGGAGCCUGCGGCUUAAUUUGACUCAACACGGGAAAACUCACCCGGGCCGGACACUAUGAGGAUUGACAGAUUGAUAGCUCUUUCUUGAUUUGGUGGUUGGUGGUGCAUGGCCGUUCUUAGUUGGUGGAGCGAUUUGUCUGGUUAAUUCCGAUAACGAACGAGACUCCAGCCUGCUAAUUAGUGCGUUUGUCCACUGCACCAGCCGAGCGGCGUAGUGUCAACUGCUUGAGCUCAGUGUGGGAGUUAAUCGUUGCGUUUGUUAGUGGGCCGAUGCGUGCAAUUGCGUGCCGUUGUACUUUCCCCGCCUCCUGCUCUUCCGCCUCCUCCUCCUCCUCCUCCUCCGCCUGCACUGCGCAUGCUUGUCGUGCGCGUGUGUGUGUGUGUGUGUGUGUGUGUGUGUAGGUGUAGGUGGCUGUGUGGGUAGUUUGUGGGGGGUGUGCGACAUGCGGUUGUGUGUGUGUAUUGGCUCCGCUGCUGAUGUGACGACCUGCAUGUAGUGCUCAGGUGGAUGGCACCGCGUUAGCUAGCAGGUGCGGCGCAAAUGCCUACUUCUUAGAGGGACACGCGGAAGAAGCCGCACGAAAUAGAGCAAUAACAGGUCUGUGAUGCCCUUAGAUGUCCGGGGCCGCACGCGCGCUACAAUGGCGGUGUCAACGAGUUAGACCUUCUGGCCUGAAAAGGUUGGGUAAACUGGUCAAUCACCGUCAUGACAGGGAUCGGGGCUUGGAAUUAUUCCCCGUGAACGAGGAAUUCCUAGUAAGUGCAAGUCAUAAGCUUGCGCUGAUUACGUCCCUGCCCUUUGUACACACCGCCCGUCGCUACUACCGAUUGAAUGGUUUAGUAAGGUCCUUGGAUUGGCGCCAUUUUGGUGCCCCGAAAGGUGGCUACCAGACCGGUGCUGAGAAGACGACCAAACUUGAUCAUUUAGAGGAAGUAAAAGUCGUAACAAG
rnacentral:rRNA from 1 species